GGGAGCUGGAUGAUCGGAAAUCGAUCACGUCCGGUUCGGUGGGAGGCCGUUGGAAGGGACCCGCCCAUGGGCACCUCGCCAGCGGCCCACCCAAC
rnacentral:ncRNA from 1 species